rnacentral:rRNA from 1 species
AAAUUGAAGAGUUUGAUCAUGGCUCAGAUUGAACGCUGGCGGCAGGCCUAACACAUGCAAGUCGAACGGUAGCACAGAGAGCUUGCUCUCGGGUGACGAGUGGCGGACGGGUGAGUAAUGUCUGGGAAACUGCCUGAUGGAGGGGGAUAACUACUGGAAACGGUGGCUAAUACCGCAUAACGUCGCAAGACCAAAGAGGGGGACCUUCGGGCCUCUUGCCAUCAGAUGUGCCCAGAUGGGAUUAGCUUGUUGGUGAGGUAACGGCUCACCAAGGCGACGAUCCCUAGCUGGUCUGAGAGGAUGACCAGCCACACUGGAACUGAGACACGGUCCAGACUCCUACGGGAGGCAGCAGUGGGGAAUAUUGCACAAUGGGCGCAAGCCUGAUGCAGCCAUGCCGCGUGUAUGAAGAAGGCCUUCGGGUUGUAAAGUACUUUCAGCGGGGAGGAAGGUGUUGUGGUUAAUAACCACAGCAAUUGACGUUACCCGCAGAAGAAGCACCGGCUAACUCCGUGCCAGCAGCCGCGGUAAUACGGAGGGUGCAAGCGUUAAUCGGAAUUACUGGGCGUAAAGCGCACGCAGGCGGUCUGUCAAGUCGGAUGUGAAAUCCCCGGGCUCAACCUGGGAACUGCAUUCGAAACUGGCAGGCUUGAGUCUUGUAGAGGGGGGUAGAAUUCCAGGUGUAGCGGUGAAAUGCGUAGAGAUCUGGAGGAAUACCGGUGGCGAAGGCGGCCCCCUGGACAAAGACUGACGCUCAGGUGCGAAAGCGUGGGGAGCAAACAGGAUUAGAUACCCUGGUAGUCCACGCCGUAAACGAUGUCUACUUGGAGGUUGUGCCCUUGAGGCGUGGCUUCCGGAGCUAACGCGUUAAGUAGACCGCCUGGGGAGUACGGCCGCAAGGUUAAAACUCAAAUGAAUUGACGGGGGCCCGCACAAGCGGUGGAGCAUGUGGUUUAAUUCGAUGCAACGCGAAGAACCUUACCUGGUCUUGACAUCCACAGAAGAAUCCAGAGAUGGAUUUGUGCCUUCGGGAACUGUGAGACAGGUGCUGCAUGGCUGUCGUCAGCUCGUGUUGUGAAAUGUUGGGUUAAGUCCCGCAACGAGCGCAACCCUUAUCCUUUGUUGCCAGCGGUCCGGCCGGGAACUCAAAGGAGACUGCCAGUGAUAAACUGGAGGAAGGUGGGGAUGACGUCAAGUCAUCAUGGCCCUUACGACCAGGGCUACACACGUGCUACAAUGGCGCAUACAAAGAGAAGCGACCUCGCGAGAGCAAGCGGACCUCAUAAAGUGCGUCGUAGUCCGGAUUGAGUCUGCAACUCGACUCCAUGAAGUCGGAAUCGCUAGUAAUCGUGGAUCAGAAUGCCACGGUGAAUACGUUCCCGGGCCUUGUACACACCGCCCGUCACACCAUGGGAGUGGGUUGCAAAAGAAGUAGGUAGCUUAACCUUCGGGAGGGCGCUUACCACUUUGUGAUUCAUGACUGGGGUGAAGUCGUAACAAGGUAACCGUAGGGGAACCUGCGGUUGGAUCACCUCCUUA